GUGGGUGUAGCUCAAUUGGUUAGAGCGUCAGACUGUGGCUCUGAAUGUUGGGGGUUCGAGUCCCCUCACCCACC
rnacentral:tRNA from 1 species